UUAGUUUCUUAAUUGGGAAAUAGGAUGAAUGGUUUCACUAAAAUAUAGUUUUUAUCCUCAUUUGCGAAAUUUUAAUCUAAGUGAAAAUACUUAGCAGUUGUACUAGGACGAGAAGACCCUAUGAAGCUGGCAAACUAUUAAUACAUAUUCCUAUUAUUUAUUAGUUUAUUUUUUGGGGUAAAAUUUAAUAAUACUAUUAACACAAUUGUACUAAAUUACAUCCUUUAGGAAUUAUGAAGAAGCUCCUUUAGGGAUAACAGCAUUAUGCUUAAAAGAGUUCUUAUCAGAAUAAGCGUUUGUGACCUCGAUGUUGAAUUAAAUGCUCUUUUAUGUGCAGGAGCUUAGAAGAG
rnacentral:rRNA from 1 species